UUUGAAGUGGAUAAUGGCUCUGAUAACAUUGACCCUGGCUUUCUUGGUAGUCGGGCUGUUGUAUUCCACUCUAAUAUAUAACUACGACCACUGGAGAUAGCGGGGGGUUUUGGGUCCCAAGCCGAAGUUCUUAUGCGGAAUAUAUUCUUACAUUUUCUUUCUGAAUGUGCAACGCCCACAAUCCGUCCAAAACUGUGGCUCCCACAGUACUGUAUACAGUUAUAUUAGAAUAAACAAACAACAAAGCUAGGAUAUGUGUGUGCUUGAAGAAGGAGAGGUAUAUUACGAGCCCCUAGCCAAAAUGACGUACUUGGAGCAGGUUGUGGCAGAAACCGUUCGAAAACAUCCUGUAAUUUCGCAAAUUGCUCGUAAGUGCAAUCAGAACUACAAAGUACCAAAUACAGAGUUAAUCAUUGAAAAGCGAACUUCGACCCAGAGGAUACCCAGUCUCGACACCCUUUUUAUACCCGUUAAUCGUAGAGUAAAAGGGUAUACUA